rnacentral:rRNA from 1 species
GAAGCACCGGCUAACUCCGUGCCAGCAGCCGCGGUAAUACGGAGGGUGCAAGCGUUAAUCGGAAUUACUGGGCGUAAAGCGCACGCAGGCGGUCUGUCAAGUCGGAUGUGAAAUCCCCGGGCUCAACCUGGGAACUGCAUUCGAAACUGGCAGGCUAGAGUCUUGUAGAGGGGGGUAGAAUUCCAGGUGUAGCGGUGAAAUGCGUAGAGAUCUGGAGGAAUACCGGUGGCGAAGGCGGCCCCCUGGACAAAGACUGACGCUCAGGUGCGAAAGCGUGGGGA